AUUGAACGCUGGCGGCAGGCCUAACACAUGCAAGUCGAGCGGAUGAAGGGAGCUUGCUCCUGGAUUCAGCGGCGGACGGGUGAGUAAUGCCUAGGAAUCUGCCUGGUAGUGGGGGAUAACGUCCGGAAACGGGCGCUAAUACCGCAUACGUCCUGAGGGAGAAAGUGGGGGAUCUUCGUACCUCACGCUAUCAGAUGAGCCUAGGUCGGAUUAGCUAGUUGGUGGGGUAAAGGCCUACCAAGGCGACGAUCCGUAACUGGUCUGAGAGGAUGAUCAGUCAGACUGGAACUGAGACACGGUCCAGACUCCUACGGGAGGCAGCAGUGGGGAAUAUUGGGCGAUGGGGGAAAGGGGGAUACAGCCAAGCCGGGUGUGUGAAGAAGGUCUUCGGAUUCGAAAGGACAGUAAGUUGGGAGAAAGGGAAGUAAGGUAAUAACUUGCUGUUUUGACGGUACCAACAGAAUAAGCACCGGCUAACUACGUG
rnacentral:rRNA from 1 species